rnacentral:misc_RNA from 1 species
UUUCCUUCUCAGUUUGUGACUGACCCAGCAGCCCCGUCCCCCGUCUGCCACAAGCAGUCCACCUCCUGGUGCUGUGUGCUGCGUGCCAGCCGCUGCUCCCGCUGAGUGGAGACUCUGGCACCAGUGCCCACUGCGCUCUGCCUGCCGGUGGUGUCUGGAUUUCUAUAGGAAUCCCAGGAGGGUCUUACUGGAGGGUUGAGAGCCACCUGAUUGAAGGCGUUUGCAGUCAGAGUAAAGACGGGGAUCACCUGCUGGAUCGCCCUGUAUGCUGUGGAGGCCCUCCCCACCUGCCCUUUCUCCUGCAAGUGUGACAGCCGCAGCCUGGAGGUGGACUGCAGUGGCCUUGGCCUCACCACGGUGCCCCCAGACGUGCCCGCAGCCACCCGAACCCUCUUGCUCUUGAACAAUAAGCUGAGUGCCCUGCCAAGCUGGGCUUUCGCCAACCUCUCCAGCCUGCAGCGGUUGGACCUGUCCAACAACUUCCUGGACCGGCUGCCCCGCUCCAUUUUCGGGGACCUGACGAAUCUGACUGAGCUU